AUUGAACGCUGGCGGCAGGCCUAACACAUGCAAGUCGAACGAGUGGCGGACGGGUGAGUAAUGUCUGGGAAACUGCCUGAUGGAGGGGGAUAACUACUGGAACCGGUAGCUAAUACCGCAUACCAUCAGAUGUGCCCAGAUGGGAUUAGCUUGUUGGUGGGGUAACGGCUCACAAGGGCGACGAUCCCUAGCUGGUCUGAGCGGAUGACCAGCCACACUGGAACGGGUACACGGUCCAGACGCCUACGGGAGGCAGCAGUGGGGAAUAUUGCACAAUGGGCGCAAGCCGGAUGCAGCAAUGCCGCGUGUAUGAAGAAGGCCUUCGGGUUGUAAAGUACGUUCAGCGGGGAGGCGUUACCCGCAGAAGAAGCACCGGCUAACUCCGUGCCAGCAGCCGCGGUAAUAC
rnacentral:rRNA from 1 species